rnacentral:rRNA from 1 species
AAGCAUCUAAGCAUGAAGCCCCCCUCAAGAUGAGACUUCCCAUUCUUCGGAAGUAAGAUCCCUGAGAGACGAUCAGGUAGAUAGGUUAGAGGUGGAAGCAUGGCGACAUGUGGAGCUGACUAAUACUAAUCGAUCGAGGACUUAACCUAAG